ACAUAGCUGGCUUAGUCAGUAGAGCAAACGACUGUUGAUCUUGGGCUUGUGAGUUCGAACCCCACGUUGGGUA
rnacentral:tRNA from 1 species